rnacentral:rRNA from 1 species
GAUGAACGCUAGCUACAUGCUUAACACAUGCAAGUCGAGGGGACACGACAUCGAAUGCUUGCUCUUGAUUGGCGUCGACCGGCGCACGGGAGAGUAACGCGUAUCCAACCUGCCCACCACUUGGGUAUAACCUUGCGAAACUAAUACUAAUACCCAAUUACGUCUCUAGAAUUCAUCUGAAAGAGACUAAAGUUUUAUCGCUUAUGGAUGGGGAUGCGUCUGAUUAGCUUGUUGGCGGGGUAACGGCUAACCAAGGCGACGAUCAGUAGGGGUUCUGAGAGGAAGGUCCACCAGAUUGGAGAUGCGACACAGACCAAACUCCUACGCGAGGCAGCAGUGAGGAACAUUAGUCGAUGGAGGAGAGUCUGAAAAAGCCAAGUAGCGGGCAGGAUGACGGGCCUCUGAGUUGUAAACUACUUUUGUAAGGGAAUAAAGUAAGUAACGUGACACUUCUUGAAUGUACCUUAUGAAAAAGGCCCGGCUAAUUCCGUG